GACUUCUUGAAAACUCUUGUGCUGAAGGGCUCUCUUUUAGGAUUUGAAUCCUAUAAAAUGCUUAAACCAAACCCUAAAUGUGGCAAAUAAUGAAAUAUAUAUGUGUUAUUUGUAAAUUAGGCACCACCCACCCCUUUGGAGGUGUACCUCCCCCUCGAAUUGACAAUAGUUUCUUUCUUCAGCUUCCAGUGCUGGAUGGAAACAGAGGUCUCUGUGGAGUGGGCAUGAAGGAGCGGCCGCCACUGCUGCUGCCCUCCUCUGAAUAGGCCUCGAGAUCCACCCCCGCCCCGCCCAGCUUCGCCGCUCUCCUUCUCGCCAGCGACGCCUCCUGCCGCUGCGCGACGUACUUGCGCGUCCGGCACACAUAGACCGCAAGAACCACUAAGGUAAUCGCGAAGAACAGUCCCACCACGAUCCCAGCGAUCGCCUCGUGCGAGAGCGUGAUCGUUUCCUUGCUGGAUUUGGAUUGCUCCAGUAGCCACCGUCGUCCAAUCGACCCAAUCGCUGGCUGGAUCAUCCGCUGGAUCGAUCCAGGAGCUUCAUACCCGUAUUGGGUGACCUCAUAGGAUGAAUCUACACCGCUGCUACAACCGCCGCCUGGGAUCCAGAUCGCAAGCAGCAGGAAUAGAGAAAGAAGAAGAAGCAAGCCGCUCCUCUGAGUUGGCGCUACCUCUCCGCCAAAUAGCACCAUUUUCGUGAUCCUGCGUGUUCGUUGCCAAGAUAUCUAUUUCUCGACCUCUCAAGUAGAAUGGAAGUUUGGGCGAUUUUAUCAUUUAUAUAGGAAAAAGACCCUCUUGACCUACAAUACAUAACGCGACUAGUUCAAAGUCUUCUUGUGAAUAGCGCGUCAUACGUGGGGCCUUUGACGCUUGUGCUUCGCCUAGACCUUGAAGUUGACAGAACUUUUCUUAUGUGAAUUUCUUCUUCCUAAACCCUAAAUAAUCAAAGUGAUUUCAUGGCAAGAUCGCUUGUGAUCUGCAAAGAAAGAAGGAAUCUUUAUAGAUCAGUCUUCCUUGCCUCAAAAAUCCACAUUGCUUGCCGUGAGCUGAGAUGCAUUUCGACCAGCAGCUUAAAAUUUUUUAAGCCUGGGCGCCAUUUUCAUUAUAGGUUGGAGGGCAAAGCGUGGAGGUGGAUGAUUACACAGAGGAGCAGGAUAUAAUCUCCAGCAUUCUCCACCGUGCCUCAAGGAACUCACUGUUGUGCUCGAGUAUAGCAAGGAUGGUGAUGACCAGAUGGAAGUUAGCAGUCACUGCUGUUGGCUCCCUCACAAAGCUCUCCCUCGAAGCUCUCCAUGGGACCAAAUGGGGAGCAGCGUACUCCACCGCGAUUCAGGAGCUCCACAUCACUGGGAGACCAUGUUGGGGGGUGUGGGAUCUUGUAUGUAGAGACACAUCCUCGCGCUUGGUGACACCUCCGGGCACAAAUGAUUUAUUUGUGGGCACAAAUGACUGUAACACAAAUCAAUCAGUAAGAUUUAACAAAGAAAAAAAACCAAAGAAGAAUAGUCAAGAUCCACAUGAAGAAAUAGUUGUAUUGUCUCCAGAUUAACAAAGAAAAGAGACUGUCCAUGGUCAUCUUGUGUUCACUGUCAAUGCAUUGGAGCGCAAGCCUCAAAACCAUAGGCGAGACUGGGAGAGAUUGGCGAUGGCAUCCACCUUCCAGUGUCCAUAUAACGCCAACUUACGAAGGUUGUCACAUCGCAUGUCCACAACGCAAGAGUUACACUGUUCAAAACCUCUAGGCUCGGGCACGAAGCUAGCAGCAUCUGGAGCAGCGCAUGGGGGACGUAAGAGUAGAGCUCACAUCUUUGUACACGAAUCAUCUUGAAAAGAGAUCUAAGGCAAGAAAGAAUCAUGGCUGUCCACUCUUGAUAGGAAAGAUCAACGCAAAACACUCAAAUGAAACGCAGACCACUACAACCCUGUCUUGGAUUCGAUCGAAAACCCAUCGAGCCUCCAUUGCCGCAUUUCCCAUACAUGUUGAUCAAGCUACUGGCCACACGAGGAUUGGAUUGGAGCCAUAUCCUGUGUGGAUGUGGAUCCUCCUCCCUCUCUCCAAAUCCCUGGCGCCGGUGCAGGAUUUCAUGCUGUGACACUUGCCUUGACUCUAACCAUAAACUUUUCUCUCUAUUUCAAAGAGGUAGGAGCGAGAGGAACUCCAGUCUCCUCUCUAUGUGGCGGUAGCUCCAGUGGAACCUGUGCAGAAAACUCACAAGGACGAGCAUCAACAUCGUGACUCGCAAAACCACAAGAGGUACCAAUUCAUCUUUCGUGAAACUUAGUAGUCAUGCAGUUGAUUUUCAAUAAGAACUUGCAAAGAUCAGGCAUUGCUACUUCUCACGCGUGAAAAAUGCGACCAGGAAAAAAGAAGAGCAAGUCGAACAGCAGCCGGGGCUGCAGUGAAUCACGAUGUCUUCCACUUGAUGAACUCCAAGUAAAUCCUUGAGAACCAUCAUGGUGGGCGGUGUGGGAUCUUGCACGUGAAGAUGAACAGCCACAUCCUUACGCUUGGUGACAACUCCAAGCUCCCUCAGUUAACAGCGAACACAAGAUGACCAUGGACAGUCUCUUCUCUUUGUUUGGCUUUGGAGACAAUACAUACUGACUGCUGUUCUCUUCAGGUUCGUUUUUUUUUAUUUGUCUUGUGUUUCUUGCUGAUCGAUCUGUGUUGCAGUCAUUUGUGCCUGGAGGUGUCACCAAGUGCAAGGAUGUGACUGUUCAUCUUCACGUGUUGGUGGCGCUAAAGCCAGGUUACAAAUGCUUCUGGGUGCUGUUUGACCUGCUCUUUGGUCGCAUUUCUUUUGCAGAGAAACUGCAUCACUGGCUCUAUUAGAAGCGAUGCGUGAUCUUUGUCAAGUUUUUAUUGAACAUCAACGUCAUGACUAGCCUGGUAUAUUUGUAACACCUCGAGCCGCCGUUGAUGCUGUAGGUGACGACGCGCUCAUGUCGCCAUGAAGCGCCAGGCCUGCUCGAGAUCCCCCGCUUUGCACAAGCUAUCGAUCAGAGCUGGUUGUAAGUCGCCACGUCGGGGGAUGGAGCGAUCCCAACAUGGGCAAUGUGAUCUACGCGGAUUGGGCGCGAUCAAGCAUCGCUUCCACGUCAGGGAUUCUUCUCUUCCAUCGCUCUUCCUCUCCUCCUCGCCAUUCGUCCUCCUUGCGGCGCUCUGCAGCCUGCUUGUCGAAGUCUUUCCAUCACUGCUUGCGAUGGAAAUGCGAGCAGUGUGUGAGAUUGGAUGAAUUGGAACAAGGGAUUUUUGAAAUAUCACUUGGAUGACAGAAUCCCCAGCGUUGGAAUUUUUAGGAAGCAACGAGCGUUUGGAUUUGGAGCAUCGCUCCACUUUGUGGAGGCAUCGGCAAUGCCGCAAGAGAAUUUGCAAAGCUAUAAGAGGUAAGACGUUAGCUUGCUGUCGUUUGCUUCCCCCAGGAUCAGACCGAUUAGAAGAACGAGAUGGGAAGAGGGGAUUAGAGGAACGAGAAGAACAGGGACUGGGCCUGGAGCAACGGGUAGAACACGUUGAAGGCCUGUUGCAACUAGAAGAAGAACAUGUUGAAGGCCUCGAGGGCGAUCAAGGGCUGGAAGCAAAAGGACUGGAAGCUGAGAAAAGCAACGAGAAGAAGAACAGGUUCAAGACCUCGAGGGCAAUCAAGGGCUGGAAGCUGAUGGAGCAGAGGUUCACGGCAUAGGAGGGUGUGUUGACAUUGUCAAAAGAUACGAGUCGAGUGUCAAUAGAUGAAGCAAUACACUGGAAGUUAGCAAUUGUUGAUCUGCUCGGGUCUCCAGGAAUCACGCAACAAUCAGGAAUAGCUUGUAUAUAGAGUGUGAAAGACUCAUGAAUAUAUACUCGUUUUUUCUCUUCAUGGUAUCAGAAUGCAGGUUUGUGGCUCAUUACUUUUCCUUUCUUUGUUCCUGUUUCGUGCUCUUGAUUGCUGAUGGAGCGAUUGGCUGCUACCAUUUGAUGGCUCAAGGCGUUUUUGGUACUGGAUAGGGUGCUUAUUCUUCAGCCAUUGAGUCCACUUGUAGUAGCAAUAUUGCUACUACGAUUAAUCAGGAGUAGACUGCUCGAGCCAUCAUCAAAUUGAAGCUAGCAGAACAUCUAGCAUUUGCAACGAGAGUCUAGUCUGCUGCAGAAUUCUGGGAGCCUCCUUGUGUGCUGAGGCCAAGUAGCUGGUGUUGUCAACUCUUCUCCUGCCAAUAAGGAUCGCGGAGGUGUACAAAAUAGACUGGACAUUAUUUCAUCUGCCUCAUCCAUUUCAUGAGCAUGAGAAGCUCUAUCCUAUUCCAUUUCUGUUUUGCGUCCCUUUGCUUCCCAAAAAUGGCCCCUCUUUGCAGUAUAGACAUGGUCAAUCCUCUCCAGGAUUGCUUUUGCAUUCCUCCAUAAAGACAAACAGUCUGAGCAUAACAUGGUACCUCUACAUGGUAGGCAGAUGAGUUCGCACUCUUGUUGCUGAAUUGGAGCCAUGAUACCCACAGAACCUUCAUGUCCACCUUGCAAUUUACAUCGUUCUCGCAAUGGUGCCAAACUUGCAAAUUCAUUCAGCUUCUGUGUCCUUAGCAUUUCGAUGUGGUGCCUUCCUUUUAAUCCCAUUCAAUGCUGUGAAUGGCCUUCCUUCAGAAAGCAUUAACAUGUUAUCAAAUGCCUUCAUCCUCCUAUUCUUCAUCAUUUUCAUCUUCUUCUAGCAAGAUAUCUUCCAUUGGAGUGCUUGACAUGGUUGGUUGGCAGUCACUGCAACAAUGGCACAUUGUUGUAAUAGUCCAUUGUCAUCCCUACUUUGGAAUUGGAAUGCUUCCCAUCCCCCUGUCCCAUGCAAAGGAGCUUCCUCCGAACCAUCUGGAUGCUGAGGAUGAUGGAUGCCGGGCUUGACCUAACUCACCUGACUCACUUGGGCUGCAAGAAAGGCAUUGACACAGUUGAUCACUUAUGGCACUGUAACCUCAUAAGAACCAAAGAGAAGCAAUCUAAGACAACAAGAACCCUAACUUGUAAGUGGAUUUGAACUCAAGUUCUUUUGGAUUUGGAAAAACAAAUUGAGCCAAACUCAGUCCAUGUGGAGAUGACAUCCACUUGCAGAGCCAUGGAGAAUAUGAAAUACUAUAAAAAUAUUAAAAUAAUGCAUGCUAAAAAUAUUCUCAAGGAUUCACUUAAAAAGGAAUUUAUAUAAGUAUAUUCCAUGUUUUUGUGAGUUCUUACAUUUCUGUAUACCCGUGUUCUCAGGGCAUUUCAUCACCUGCCAAUCACUGAUUAUAAACAUUAUACAAAUCAAAAUCAAGAAUUGAAAAUUAUUUCAUGAUAGAAUUUUAUUUUGAAUUUUAUUUUCCCCCAAGCCUACAAGCACAAAUCACUUGCAUUGUUAUUUUAUUUAUUUUUUAUAUUUAUUUUUUUGCACAUUUUUUAUCCCCAUAAUCUUAAAAGUGUGCCAAUUACAUUUUGAUUGAUUACGUCCGCAUUACCACAUGCAGACACGUGCAUGUAGUACUCAUGUUGAUUUUCUACUACUCAGUGCAUAUAGGUUUGCAGCAAGGGAUUGGGGGGUUGAGCAUGAGCCUUUCAAUUAUAAAGUUCACACCAAUGCAAGACUCGGCACUAAACUACCAAGGUCCUCUCCAAUUCCAUGGUAGUCUUCUCCAAAUCGCUAGCACUUGGCGCUUGGCUUAUCCCAGAAUGAGACUGCUCUCUUCGGGCCAUGUAGCCAGCAAUGUGUUUUGUGGCUACCAAUAAGAGGCCAUGAAGAAUUGUAGCAAGUUCCUGAUGUUUGUAUCUUGUUCUGGUCCACUCCUGUGCUUUACAAAGGCCAUGAGAACCGAGUUCCAGUCUCCAGCACAGGAUGUUCUUGUGCGUGAUAUUUUGUCAAAAAUGAGCUUAACCUCUCAUCAUCAUUGUGUAGAGCAGACAGUCUCGCUGCUCGCACUCGUCAGACAAACCUUGGAAUAUGUUUUGAUGGUGGCUUUAGAAUCCUUGAUAUAUCAAGAUCAAAGAAAACAACAAGUAAAAAACUUGAAAACCUGGUUGCAUCUGGUUUGCAUUAUCCUGAGUUGUCAAGAAAGCUUAGAUACUUCCCAAGAAAUCUCCCCUUCACCUCGUCAAUCUGCUUAGACACUUCAUGCUUGACUUGCUACUUUUGCAGAAAGUUGUUAAAUCCCAUCUAUUCUCCUUUUGACUAGUGCAUAGGGGUAAGAAUAAAUUUAAUCGCCCUGUCCUUUUCACUAGCACAUAGAGUUGGGAUACUGAUCAAGAGCAAAAAACUAGUUGGCUUUGGGAUUUUGAUCAAGCACGAGAUUCAGGAAUCGAUUGGUUAACUUUGCUUCAUUUUCAGAUUCUGGACGUUUAGGAAUGAUCCAUGGUUUAGAAUUCACUGGGACGCCCUGAUCUAUGGACAGCUGGCUUGUGGACUUCUUGUGCUGAAGGGCUCUCCAGUUCUUGGGUGAUAUCGACAGUCUUAGAAUGGUGGACAGAAAGCUUGUGUGCCAUCAACGUGAUGAAAUUGUGGCAUUUUAUCGAGCAAGGUCUUUGUGGAGCAUUAAGCUUUGAACCAAGCCCUAAAUGUGGCAAAUAAUGAAAUAUGUUAUUUGUAAAUUGCCACACCCCUUUGGAGGUGUACCUGACAAUAAAUUAUUAUACAACGCUGAUUCGCAAGAAAAAUCAAGUAUCUUUACAUUGCUCUAGUCUAUGGCUCAAAUCGAAUAGUUUCUUUCUUCAUCUUCCAGUGCUGGAUGGAAACAGAGGUCUUUGUGGAGUGGGCAUGAAGGAGCGGCUGCCCUCCUCUGAAUAGCCGUCAGCGCCACCGACCUCGAGUUCCACCCCCGCCCCGCCUAGCUUCGCCGCUCUCCUUCUCGCCAGCGACGCCUCCUGCCGCUGCGCGAUGUACUUGCGCGUCCGGCACACAUAGACCGCAAGAACCACUAAGGCAAUCGCGAAAAACAGUCCCACCACGAUCCCAGCGAUCGCCUCGUGCGAGAGCGUGAUCGUUUCCUUGCUGGAUUUGGAUCGCUGCAGUAGCCACCGUCGUCCAAUCGACCCAAUCGCUGGCUGGAUCAUCCGCUGGAUCGAUCCAGGAGCUUCAUACCCGUAUUGGGUGACCUCAUAGGAUGAAUCUACACCGCUGCUACAACCGCCGCCUGGGAUCCAGAUCGCAAGCAGCAGGAAUAGAGAAAGAAGAAGAAGCAAGCCGCUCCUCUGAGUUGGCGCUACCUCUCCGCCAAAUAGCACCAUUUUCGUGAUCCUGCGUGUUCGUUGCCAAGAUAUCUAUUUCUCGACCUCUCAAGUAGAAUGGAAGUUUGGGCGAUUUU
rnacentral:lncRNA from 1 species